rnacentral:rRNA from 1 species
UACGUAGGGUGCGAGCGUUAAUCGGAAUUACUGGGCGUAAAGCGUGCGCAGGCGGUUUUGUAAGUCUGUCGUGAAAUCCCCGGGCUCAACCUGGGAAUUGCGAUGGAGACUGCAAGGCUAGAAUCUGGCAGAGGGGGGUAGAAUUCCGACGUGUGAGCAGUGAAAUGCGUAGAGAUGUGGAGGAACACCGAUGGCCGAAGGCAGCCCCCUGGGUCAAGAUUGA